GAUGAACGCUGGCGGCGUGCCUAAUACAUGCAAGUCGAGCGAACGGACGAGAAGCUUGCUUCUCUGAUGUUAGCGGCGGACGGGUGAGUAACACGUGGAUAACCUACCUAUAAGACUGGGAUAACUUCGGGAAACCGGAGCUAAUACCGGAUAAUAUUUCGAACCGCAUGGUUCAAAAGUGAAAGACGGUCUUGCUGUCACUUAUAGAUGGAUCCGCGCUGCAUUAGCUAGUUGGUAAGGUAACGGCUUACCAAGGCAACGAUGCAUAGCCGACCUGAGAGGGUGAUCGGCCACACUGGAACUGAGACACGGUCCAGACUCCUACGGGAGGCAGCAGUAGGGAAUCUUCCGCAAUGGGCGAAAUCCUGACGGAGCAACGCCGCGUGAGUGAUGAAGGUCUUCGGAUCGUAAAACUCUGUUAUUAGGGAAGAACAUAUGUGUAAGUAACUGUGCACAUCUUGACGGUACCUAAUCAGAAAGCCACGGCUAACUACGUG
rnacentral:rRNA from 1 species